AUACGUAGGGGGCGAGCGUUGUCCGGAAUGAUUGGGCGUAAAGGGCGCGUAGGCGGCCUGUUAAGUCUGGAGUGAAAGUCCUGCUUUCAAGGUGGGAAUUGCUUUGGAAACUGGCGGGCUGGAGUGCAGGAGAGGUUAGCAGAAUUCCCGGUGUAGCGGUGAAAUGCGUAGAGAUCGGGAGGAACACCAGUGGCGAAGGCGGCUUACUGGUCCAUUACUGACGCUGAGGUGCGAAAGCGUGGGGAGC
rnacentral:rRNA from 1 species